UUUCAGGGCUCUAUGUACAGGUAUGAUGAAUCUUGUAUUCUUUACCUUCUACCUAAUUUAGUUUUCUCAUUUUCUGAACUUGCUCUAAAAUUCUAAAUGUAGAGGAUAAAGGUAAAACUACAAGUGGAAAAGCACUCCAUUACAAAGGAACACCAUUCCACCGUAUUGUAUCUAGUUUCGUUAUUCAAGGUGGUGAUAUUUUAUAUGGUGAUAGAAAAGGAUAUGAAUCAAUUUAUGGUGGUACAUUUGAUGAGAAUUUCAGAAUAAAACAUUCACAUGCAGGUAUUGAACCCAAUGCUUUCAAAUGGCAUGUUAACUUCAUUAUUAGUUUGUUGACUCAAGUUUCACAUCUUCAUUAUAAAUGGAUUGCUUGUUAUACAGGUGUUGUCUCGAUGGUAAACUCAGGACCUGAUUCAAAUGGCUCACAAUUUUUCAUUACCACCAUUAAGUCCAGCUGGCUAUCAGUUCAACUGGAGUUAAGAAAGGUGACAUAUUUUUGGCAGAUGUAAGCACUCAGCUAAAGAACAACAAUAUCACAACUGAUGUAAAAGUUGACACCCACUCCAAUGUUCGCACUACUGUUACAAUUGAUGAACCUGCUCUAGGGUUGAAGGCAAUUUUUAGUUUUUGUGUUCCUAACCAGAGAUCUGGCAAGGUGUAGGUUCACACUGCUGUUACAUUAUGUUAAUAUGCACUUGCCGCAAGAUAGAAUCAAGUUUGAUGUUCUGCUAACAUCAUAUGAGAUGAUUAACUUUGAUGUGGGAACACUGAAGCCUAUAAAAUGGCAAUCCCUGAUUGUUGAUGAAGGCCACCGGCUUAAGAAUAAGGAUUCGAAAUUAUUUUCUUCAUUGAAACAGUUUUCUAGUGGCCUUCGGGUACUCUUGACUGAAACUCCUCUUCAG